rnacentral:rRNA from 1 species
GACAGAGGAUGCAAGCGUUAUCCGGAAUGAUUGGGCGUAAAGCGUCUGUAGGUGGCUUUUUAAGUCCGCCGUCAAACCCCAGGGCUCAACCCUGGACAGGCGGUGGAAACUACCAAGCUGGAGUACGGUAGGGGCAGAGGGAAUCUCCGGUGGAGCGGUGAAAUGCGUAGAGAUCGGAAGGAACGCCGGUGGCGAAAGCGGCCCGCUGGACCCUCUCUGACGCUGAGGCGCGAAAGCCAGGGGAGCAAACGGG